CUUAACAGAAAAAUAAAAAAAAAAUCUUAAAAAUAUGGAAAAAAAUAAGACACUUUUAGAUGAAUAAAAAAUACAUGAAGGGACACAUAAAUGCCUCUCUAUGAUUACAAUUUUCUGUUGAACAGUGUCAUCGUAGAACAAAAUGUUCGGUGGGUCUUGGAAAAAUCAGUCAGAAAUGCUCUAAAAUUGUAGUGGCGGUGUUAAAGGAAUGUAGUCCCAGUAUGGAACCGUGCAUCCAUGUUGUCGGUCUGGAGGCAGUCUUUGAAUUUAAAUUUAUUUCAAAUGAGCACAGAUGAAUCUCUACAUUCA